GGCGCACGGGUGCGUAACACGUAUACAACCUACCUUCAAUUGGGGGAUAACCUGGAGAAAUUCGGACUAAUAUCCCAUAGCAAACAGAAGAGGCAUCUUUUUUGUUUUAAAGAUUUAUUGAUUGGAGAUGGGUAUGCGUAGGAUUAGCUAGUUGGUAAGGUAACGGCUUACCAAGGCGACGAUCCUUAGGGGUUCUGAGAGGAAGGUCCCCCACACUGGUACUGAGACACGGACCAGACUCCUACGGGAGGCAGCAGUGAGGAAUAUUGGUCAAUGGUCGAGAGACUGAACCAGCCAAAUCGCGUGAAGGAAGACGGCUCUAUGAGUUGUAAACUUCUUUUGUACAGGAGUAAAGUGAGACACGUGUGUUUUAUUGCAAGUACUGUACGAAUAAGCAUCGGCUAACUCCGUGCCAGCAGCCGCGGUAAUACGGAGGAUGCAAGCGUUAUCCGGAUUUAUUGGGUUU
rnacentral:rRNA from 1 species